UCUUUUGAUGCAUUUGUUGGCAAAUGAGGUAA
rnacentral:sRNA from 1 species